rnacentral:piRNA from 1 species
AUGGGGCUGGAGAGAUGGCUCAGGGGUU